AGCUGCCAUUUUUGGAAGUGGAAAAUGAUCGUUACCUUUUUAGUGCAAAUGCAAUCACUCGGUAUCUAUUGAAAUGUGAGACUCGCAAAAGAUAUGAAAUAAAAGUUGAAAAUUUAUCCUUUGAAGACCAUUGGCUGGAAUGGGAUCUCUUGAAGUUACAGGUGCAAUGCAUUAAUAAAGCUAAAAUUUAUGUCAAAACUAUGUACAUUCUUAUAUCAGUGUGCGAAUUAGUUCA